AGCUCCAAUAGCGUAUAUUAAAGUUGUUGCAGUUAAAAAGCUCGUAGUUGGAUUUGGGACUGGAGUCGUCGGGUCGGCCGCGAGGUCUGUUACUGGACGGCUCCGUCAUUUCAUCUCUCGGAGACCCGUCGUGCACUUCGCUGUGCGCGGCGCGGGACUCGGGACGUUUACUUUGAAAAAAUUAGAGUGUUCAAGGCAGGCUCGCGCCUGAAUACAUUAGCAUGGAAUAAUGGAAGAGGACCUCGGUCCUAUUUUGUUGGUUUCUGGGGCCGAAGUAAUGAUUAAGAGGGACAGUUGGGGGCAUUCGUAUUUAAUUGUCAGAGGUGAAAUUCUCGGAUUUAUGAAAGACGAACAACUGCGAAAGCAUUUGCCAAGGAUGUUUUCAUUAAUCAAGAACGAA
rnacentral:rRNA from 1 species